rnacentral:lncRNA from 1 species
AAAUUAAAUUAUUAAAGAAUAUUGAAAAUGUAUGUUUUGAAAAAUUUAAGGAAGAAUGGUAUGACAAGAUUAUGUCAGAUGAUAAAAAUAAAUUACGUACAUAUAGAAUUUUCAAAAAUGUAUAUGGCGUAGAAAAUUAUUUAAUUUUUAAUAUGCCAGGUAGAUACAGGAGUGCUUUAGCAAAAUUUAGAUGUGGUGUAGCACCCA